AUGUGGCUGGGGAAGCCUCACAAUCAUGGCAGAAGGCAAGGAGGAGCAAGUCAUGUCUUACAUGGAUGACAACAGGUAAAGAAAAAGAGCUUGUGCAUGGAACCCCCCCUGUGUAAUACCAUCAGGUCUCAUGAGACCCAUCCACCACCAUGAGAACAUCAGGGGAAGGACCUACCUCCAUGAUCCAGUUAUCCCCCACUGAAUUCCUUCCACAACACGUUGGAAUUCAAGAUGAGAUUUGGGUGAGGACACAGCCAAACCAAAUCACAAGACUUAGCCAUGUUCAAGACUGAUAUUGGCAUAAGAAAAGACACUUGGAGCAAUGAAACAGAAUAUUGAGUCUAAAAAUAGACACAUGCAUAUGCAGUCAAUUGAUUUUCAAAAAUGGUGUCAUAGUUGUUCACUGGACAAAAAUCAUUUCUUAAAAAGUAAAUGGUUCCGGAAGAGCUGGAUAUAUGUACUGGAAAAAUGAACUUCAGCCACUAAAACUACUUUGUAAUUUACACAAGAAUAUACUUUAAAUAGAUCAUAGAGUUAAAUGUUAAAGCUGAAAACAUAAAACCAUGAGACAAAAGCAUACAAGAAAAUGUUUGUGACAUUGGGGUAAGCAAACAUUUCUUAGAAAACAAAAGCUAAAUAUAAGAAACAAUGAUUAGUUUAACUAUAUCUAAAGCUGCUUUCUUUAAAAGACACUCUUAAGAACAUGAAAAGCAAGCCAAAGUUUGUGAGAAGAUACUAGAAUACAUGUAUCUCACAAGGGACUUGUAGUCAGAAAACAUAAGGAGAUUCUAUAACUUAAUAUGGAAAAAAUAAACAAAAUAUUUGAACAGGAACUUUAUAUAAGACAACAUAUGAAUGGCCAAGGAGCACAUGAAAGGAUCAUCAACAUCAUUAAUCAUUGGGGAAAAUAAAUGAAAAUUGCUGUAGGAUACUGCUGUAUACCUACUAGAAAGGAAAAAAGUAAAGAUUUACAGUACGAAAUGUUGGUAAUGUCAUUGAGUACUGGAAGUCAUACAUCACUGGGGGGAAAUAAAAAUAGAAGAUAAACUGGAAGUUUCUUAUAAAUAGGCACUUGACAUUGUACCUAAUAAUUUCAUUCCAAGGGAAAUGAAAAUGUAUGUUUAUAUGAAGACUUGUACAGAUAUGUUCAUGGUAACUUUAUUCAUGAUGGCUAAAAGACAGAAACAAUCAAAUGUCCAUCUACAGUGAAGCUAUAUACACCAUGUGUGAUAUAAAUACAUAAAAAAUAAAUAAUAAGCUAAUAAUAGUUUUAAAAAUAUAGGUGAAUCUCAAAAACAUUAAUCUGGGCAAAAGAAGCCAGAAAAAAAAGCAAACUGUAAGACUGAUUUACAUCAGAUUAUAGAUCAGGUAAAAUUCAUCUGCAGUAACAGAAAGUAGAUCAAUAAUUUCCCAGGUGUGGGUGGAAUGGCCUGGAGUAGAUCCGGACACCAGGUACCUUUCAUGGGGAUGGAAGUGUUCUGUGUCUCGUAUGUGGUGCUAGUUACAAUGAUGUAUGCAUUUGUGAAAAUGCAUUAAGCUUUACACAUAAAAUGAGUACAUAUUAUUGAAUGUAAAUUAUGCUUCAACAUGGUUGAUUUUAAAAGAAUAAUGAUUUAUAAAAGAAAAUAAUAAAUUUGCCCAAGAAUCAUAAAUUCAAUCCAACUUUUAAAAAUGAACAUAUCAUGCAUACCUUUAAGUGUCUUUAUCUAUUUUUACACAAUCCCAUAAAUAUUAUAUAGUUAAUAGAAGCAAUAAGACCUGGAAAGUUGUUCAAGAUAUCUGAAACACAUAUUACAAACAAUUUAUUAUAAUAAUAGCAAUCAGUUAAGAUGUAUUAUGUGGCUAUAAUGUGUCAUGCAGAAUGUUAAAUGUUUCACAUUUGUUGUUUCAUUAAUUACUACAAAUCUAUAAGAGAUAUAUCAAUAUCAUAUCCAUUUUGCAGGCAAGAAAACCUAGUAGUGGAGAGGUAAAGAACUUGCUAAGAGGUCACAGAGUAGCAAGGAGAAAGUGCAUUGGGAUAUGGGGUGAGAGAGAGAGAAUGCUGAUGGACUAAGGGACUUAUGAGAAAUUAUGAGGAGGAUGUGUUAUUGACCUGAAACUUAAUUAUUUUGCAUAUGAGGGAAGGCAGGAACAGUAUUCAAGCCAAAGGACCAGCAUAAGCAGUCAGCCACGCAAAUGUAGGGGAGAUUUUUCCCUCAUGUUUUAGUUCCUCCAGAGUUAGAAGAAAAAGAAAAACUGUGUAGAUUUAGCAGAAGACUAGGUAUGUCUUUCCCAACUCAGAAAAUGUCCCUGUCUUCUUCCAUACUCUUUGUGUGCUAUGAACUUUAAAAUACUCUCUUUGGCUCCCAGAAUCCUUCAGUGUCAAUGGCUGCAUGGAGCCAGUGGCAGGGGCAGGCUGCCUUCGCUCCCUUCCCUGCCCUCGCUCCCUGGCACAGUUGCUGGAGUGUCUCUGGGGUCAUACUUCUGUGUCUGUAGCCCAACCCUCAAAUUGUACAAAUAGACUCACAAAAUGGGUCAAAUGGUGGAGAAUUUUUGGACUUGGCAUGGCUCUCCCUCAACCCAGAGAGGAAAAAAUAUAUUUUAUAUGGACUUUGUCAAUUCAGAAUUUUAAUUUUCACAGUUGAAGAUUUAUAAAAUUUGUAAAUUAGAGAUAUUAUUUAAGUUUGGUCUUACUUUCCAAAUUUCUCAGGAUACCUAAAAUCUAUUGCCAUUUGCAGUGAAUUGAAUUGUAUUCCCCCCACGUUCCCAAGUUGCACUAAUUCCUCAUCACUAACGUGACUGUAUUUAAAUAUAAGAACUUUAGAAGGGAAUGAAGGUUACACGAGGUCAUAAGGAUGUGGCCCUGAUCUGAUAGGAUUAGUGUGCUUACAAGAAGAGACCCCAGAAAGCGUCAGGUCUGCCUUUCUCCCUCACACACGUCUGCUGCAUGAAGACAGAGUGAGAAGGCAGCCAUUUGCACACCAGGAAGGUGAUGCUCACCAAGAACAGAUUCCACCCACACUUGGAUCUCCAUUCUCACUUUGGGCUUUGACUUCCAGCCUCCAAGACUUCAAGACAUCAAUUUCUGUUGUCUAAGCCCCUCCAUCUAUGGUAUUUUGUUGUGGAAGCCCAAACAGACUGACUUCACUAUGUAGUUUUCAGAUAGUACUUAGGUAAUUUCCUUUUAUAUGUUAGAACUAACUUGCAUUGGCUGUUUCAUUCCUGAGUUUCUUGAAUACUUUAAUACUUGACAGGUGCUGUGCAAAGCUUUUUACCUGCACUAAUUACCACUACAUUUACCAUUCACAGUAACCUUGAAAAAUACCUUUUUCAACUAUCCCCACUUUCUAUAAAGUGACACUUAGUAAAAGGGUGGUUUGAAAGGGCAAGUGAGUGGCAAAUGAGGUCCGUUGGAGACAAAAAUCUGCUUUCACUCAUCACGCUGCACUGAAUGAAAACCAUGAAGCCACAUUUUGAACCAACUUUUCAUUGUCUGCCACUCAUUUGCAGCUGGUGCACCGGGAUGUCUCUGCUAUCACACUUUGUGUUCGAAUGUUUGGUGUAGUACUUGGCGGCCUGCAGAGACUGAUGCUGUUGAGAGAUGUCACCUCUUGUGAGUGCCAGUUGGCCAAGCUUCCUCGGAUGUGAACCAUGCACAGGCAGCCCCUGACAGUCUCAUGACAGAGUGGUUUCAACAUGUAACAAUAAUUUUCUGGGAACUCCAUCUCACCCUAUAAAAGAGAAGAUUGGAUUUAAUUUUCUUUCUCUCUCUCUUGUACUUCCCCUAAUCAACGCUAAUAUCUUCAGGCCUCUGUUAACUUGAAUUUAGCUUUAAACACAUCAGGUUAUUAAGACUUUAUUAGCCAUGGGUAUGAUGCCCAGUCAGGUGAGUUUCUCUGCAAAUGGUGGUGGAACUCUAGACCAAUGAAUUUGAUGUUUCUGUCCUAUUAUCAGAAGGGAAUAAACUUGGAUAUGUUUUCUCCCUUAGAGGUUGACAGAUUUGCAUUCAUUUUCAUUAGACUAAGAGCUCUUUGUAAACAUAAACUGGGACUUAUUUAUCUUGAUAUCCCUCCCUCAUAGCACAGACCU